rnacentral:lncRNA from 1 species
GGGUCCUAACUCUACAUUGUGAUAAAUGGAAGAACUCUGAGGUAUCCCUGUAGCUGUCGGUCUUGAGAUUUAUUUUCCUGGUUACUUUAACUAAAAAGAUCCCAGCAGCUUCUGUUUACUUUUCUUACACCCAUCACCGGCAUAUCAUUGUACUCGGCAGGGGCACCAUGUGGUCAUUUGCCCACUCUGGAUAGCCCUACAGGGUAGAUCUUAGUGGCUCUAGUAGGCCAGUAGAGAGGCCUGUCCAGUUUGUGGCGCAUGCCUGCAUGCCCCUUGUCAUGGGCUCACCCGAUAGGCUGUCUGCCUUUGCCAUGCACAGACCCAGGCUGAAACCAAUCCAGAGCACUUCCCACUGGAUCCAUUUCAACAGCUGCCUUGCAAAAGGAAGUCAAAUUCAAAUACAAACUACAAACCCCUCUGCUACUUACAUUCUCUGUGAUUUAACUUACAUCUAACUAUAUCUAUCUAUCUAUCUGUCUAUCUAUCUAUCUAUCCAUCCAUCCAUCCAUCCAUCCAUCCAUCUUUGUCUUUACCAAUGUCAACUUUACACCAGGGAGAAAGUUGGUCUUCUAAAUGAUGUUUUGCAGGCUAAUCCCUGUAGAUGUGUCCUAACAAUUAAAUUAUCACACAGGUUGUGUCAGUUCAAAACUGAGACUCACCCUAGCCAAAAGGGUUUUGAGGCUUUGGACCCUUUAGAUGUUAGAUGACCUCCAAGCUUCAUGCUGCUUCCUUGUCCUGAGGAGUUAAAUGAAUUUGUUUGUACAAAACCUGAAAGGCAAAUAGAGUUCUGAGUGUUAACUAAGGAGUAGCUGAAGCUUAUCUCAACUUUGUGUGUGUGUGUGUGUGUGUGUGUGUGUGUGUGUUUGGCUGAAGAGAGGAGAUAGUAUAGAGUGACAUGGAUAAAUCUGGAGACUGUUGAUUUUAACACCCACCAUCUGGAGCAGGGUUAUUCCCAGCAUGCAUCUGUUGCAUACAUUAUCAACAAAUGAUAUCAAAUAUUUUGCUGGUAUUAUGAUUUUUGAUUAAAGUAACUAGAAACAAAUAGAUAUGUUUUGAUAUGUAAAGACCAGGCUUUGUGUCUUACUGUUAAAAACUGAACCCUAGCCAUUGCUUUGACUGAGUAAUUAGUGUCAUUAUAAAAGUAAUGAUAAAGAAUAGCUGUGCUCAUAGUUAGGUGUAUAUGGUUCAAAAUAGUCUCUCCUUGCUUCCGUUUCCUCCUAGGGACAGUUUUAGAGGAAAAGAAAGGAAAGGUGGGAACAGAGAGAGGGAGGAGAACAUGGAGAGACUUUGUUGUUGCUUUCCUAGAAGUCAUGUUUGAAAGGUGCUAGGCACCUAGUCUUUUGUCCUAGAGAGCUUUCCAUAAUGGUCUAAAGGUCUACCUCAUUCCUCUUAAUAUUUGCUUAGAGUUCCCCUCCAUUGGUGGCUUAUAAUCUAUUGGAUCAGCCUUUUAGUGAUGAACACAUAGCUGGCUGCAACAUUUCCAAGUUUUAUUUUUAUACACAAGUCUAUAGUUAGCAUUUUGGUGCAUAAUUUGCCAAAGUUUCUGUGUAUAAAUUCCAGUUUAGAAAUGGAACUAUUGGAUCUAAGACUAUGUGAGACUUUAGAUACGUGCAUUGCGAUGGUCCUCCACGAACUGGUCAGUGGAUGCCCCUAUCCAAAGUUAAAGGAUCAGAUUCUCGGCUUUAUGCUGUUAAAUGUUUUCAAAUUUAAUUUUCUCUUCCCGAUCUGACAGGUAAAAACGAUGAGGCAAAACCAUUCUGAUUUUAGUUCAUUUUACCAUGAGCAAGGAUGAAGUUUUCAUAUAUAUUUUUUUGGUAAUUUCAGUUUUGUAAUAUUUAUAUCUUUAAUACAAAUUUCAGUUUUUUUAUUCUUUUAACUUAUUUGUCAUUUGUUUUUUAUGGUGUUCAUUGAUUGCAUGUUUAUAUUAGAAAGUUUAAAACUCUGUGUUGUUAGUUUAUUUAUGUUUUCCUUUGUAGAACAUGAUUGCCCUCUAGGUUUGAAGAGGCCUUCCUGUGUUGAAAUUACAAAUAAAUUAGUUAUAUUUUCUUUCAAAAUCUUAACAUUUCUACUUAUCUGCCUUUAUAACUUUUUAUUCUUUAAAAUUCAUUAUAGUAAAUAUAGAUAAAGAUUUAGUUGUUUAUCUCCAAGAGUGGUACACAAACAUAUAAUAAAGCAUUUCUGCAAUGCAGUGAGACUCCACGAAGUUCAGAUUGUCACUUCGGUGUAAACUAUGUUUCUCCAAGUGCUUUUCUGUUCCAUUGAUUAAUCUGUCUUAAUGCUGUUGAUUUUCCAAAGUUUUCUUGGUAUUAUCAGUAUUUUCAAAUGGAUAAUGUUUUAUGAUCCCUCCCUCGUAUUCUCUGUGUCAUGGACUGGGGUCACAAUGGAUUCAUACAGCAGGUCUUUCUGUUUGAAAGCACCACAAUUUCAGCUUGUUCUCAAAUCUAGUAAUACAGCAGUCAGUAGGGUGAUCAGACCCUACACAUUUCUUGCUGUUCAUUUCUGGCUGUCUUAUUAGUUGGUUACCGUUUUCACUUGUCUUUUUUUAGCCAUAUAUAGGACAAUGGUUGGGUUUUGUAUGUUAAUGUCAAAUAAUUAGUCACCAUAAUCGUGGUUGUUUUGUUUCUAAGAUUUCCCUUUAACUCAUUUUCCCCAAUAUCUUUAUUUCAUUUUCUAUCGAAUUGCACUUGAGAACAGUAAUUGGAUUGUUUGCAUACUUGUCUUGUUCUUAAUGUUGAUGGAUGUUUUAAUGAUGCACAACUUUACUUGUAUGAAGACAUGUAUUUUCUUCAUCAUAAUAAAAAUUAUACAUGUAUCCUCUC